rnacentral:rRNA from 1 species
GUGGAUAGGGGUGAAAGGCCAAUCAAACUUCGUGAUAGCUGGUUCUCUCCGAAAUAUAUUUAGGUAUAGCCUUGUGUUGUAGCAUAUAGGGGUAGAGCACUGAAUGGGCUAGGGCUGCUUACCGCGGUACCAAACCCUAUCAAACUAUGAAUACUAUAUGUGGAAUCACAGGAGUCAGGCGAUGGGUGAUAAAAUCCACCGUCGAGAGGGGAACAACCCAGACUAACAGCUAAGGUCCCUAAGUCACAUCUAAGUGGAAAACGAUGUGGAGUUACUGUGACAACCAGGAGGUUGGCUUAGAAGCAGCCAUCCUUUAAAGAAAGCGUAACAGCUCACUGGUCUAGUGAUUCUGCGCGGAAAAUAUAACGGGGCUAAGAUGUGCACCGAAGCUUUAGAUUCGAAUUUAUUCGAGUGGUAGGAGAGCGUUCUAUUCAGCGUUGAAGAUGUACCGGUAAGGAGCGUUGGAGCGGAUAGAAGUGAGCAUGCAGGCAUGAGUAGCGAUAAUUGAGGUGAGAAUCCUCAACGCCGAAAACCCAAGGUUUCCUACGCGAUGCUCGUCAUCGUAGGGUUAGUCGGGUCCUAAGUCGAGUCCGAAAGGGGUAGACGAUGGCAAAUUGAUUAAUAUUUCAAUACCAACAUACAAGCGCGAUGUGGGGACGCAUAGAGUUAGUCGAGCUCACUGAUGGAAUAGUGGGUCGAAGGACGUAGGCUGUAACUUAGGCAAAUCCGGGUUGCAAUAGGCCGAGAUCUUACAGGCUCUUGACACUCUUCGGAGGAGAUGGAGAAUCGAUGAUACUGUCGUGCCAAGAAAAGCCACUAAGUAUAUUGUAUGUUGCCCGUACCGUAAACCGACACAGGUGGGUGGGAUGAGUAUUCUAAGGCGCGUGGAAGAACCCUGGUUAAGGAACUCUGCAAACUAGCACCGUAUCUUCGGUAUAAGGUGUGCCUACUUUGGUAUAUGGACUUGCUCCAAAAAGCUAGAGAGGUUGCAACAAAGAGUCCCUCCCGACUGUUUACCAAAAACACAGCACUUUGCUAACACGUAAGUGGAUGUAUAAGGUGUGACGCCUGCCCGGUGCUCGAAGGUUAACUGAUGAUGUCAGCGCAAGCGAAGCAUUUGAUUGAAGCCCGAGUAAACGGCGGCCGUAACUAUAACGGUCCUAAGGUAGCGAAAUUCCUUGUCGGUUAAAUACCGACCUGCAUGAAUGGCGUAACGAGAUGGGAGCUGUCUCAACCAGGGAUCCAGUGAAAUUGUAGUGGAGGUGAAAAUUCCUCCUACCCGCGGAAAGACGGAAAGACCCCGUGCACCUUUACUACAGCUUGACACUGUAGCUUGGAUAUUCAUGUGCAGGAUAGGUGGGAGGCUAUGAUGACUAGACGCAAGUAGAGUCGGAGCCAUCCUUGAGAUACCACCCUUGAAUAUUUGAGUUACUAACUGCGUACAAUUAUCUUGUAUCAGGACAAUGUCUGGUGGGUAGUUUGACUGGGGCGGUCGCCUCCUAAAAAGUAACGGAGGCUUACAAAGGUUAGUUCAUGGCGGAUGGAAAUCGCCAGUUGAGUAUAAUGGCAUAAACUAGCUUGACUGUGAGACAUACAAGUCGAACAGAGACGAAAGUCGGUCAUAGUGAUCCGGUGGUUCUGUGUGGAAGGGCCAUCGCUCAAAGGAUAAAAGGUACGCCGGGGAUAACAGGCUGAUCUCCCCCAAGAGCUCACAUCGACGGGGAGGUUUGGCACCUCGAUGUCGGCUCAUCGCAUCCUGGGGCU